rnacentral:rRNA from 1 species
CCUACGGGGGGCAGCAGUGAGGAAUAUUGGUCAAUGGACGAGAGUCUGAACCAGCCAAGUAGCGUGAAGGAUGACUGCCCUAUGGGUUGUAAACUUCUUUUAUAUGGGAAUAAAACGUUCCAAGUGUGGGAUUUUGUAUGUAACAUAUGAAUAAGGAUCGGCUAACUCCGUGCCAGCAGCCGCGGUAAUACGGAGGAUCCGAGCGUUAUCCGGAUUUAUUGGGUUUAAAGGGAGCGUAGGUGGAUUGUUAAGUCAGUUGUGAAAGUUUGCGGCUCAACCGUAAAAUUGCAGUUGAAACUGGCAGUCUUGAGUACAGUAGAGGUGAGCGGAAUUCGUGGUGUAGCGGUGAAAUGCUUAGAUAUCACGAAGAACUCCGAUUGCGAAGGCAGUUCACUGGACUGCAACUGACACUGAGGCUCGAAAGUGUGGGUAUCAAACAGGAUUAGAUACCCUAGUAGUC